rnacentral:rRNA from 1 species
CAGCCGCCACGGGAAUACGAAGGGGGCUAGCGUCGCUCGGAAUGACUGGGCGUAAAGGGCGCGUAGGCGGAUUGUACAGUCAGGCGUGAAAUUCCUGGGCUUAACCUGGGGGCUGCGUUUGAUACGUAUAGUCUAGAGUGGGGAAGAGGGUCGUGGAAUUCCCAGUGUAGAGGCGAAAUUCGUAGAUAUUCGCAAGAACACCAGUGGCGAAGGCGGCUCACUGGCCCGGAACUGACGCUGAGGCUCGACAGCGUGGGGAGCAAACAGGAUUAGAUACCCGAGUAGUCCCUGUCUCUUAUAC